UACGGAGGAUCCAAGCGUUAUCCGGAAUCAUUGGGUUUAAAGGGUCCGUAGGCGGUUUUGUAAGUCAGUGGUGAAAGCCCAUCGCUCAACGGUGGAACGGCCAUUGAUACUGCAAGACUUGAAUUAUUGGGAAGUAACUAGAAUAUGUAGUGUAGCGGUGAAAUGCUUAGAGAUUACAUGGAAUACCAAUUGCGAAGGCAGGUUACUACCAAUAUACUGACGCUGAGGAGCGAAAGCGUGGGGAGCGAACAGG
rnacentral:rRNA from 1 species